rnacentral:rRNA from 1 species
AGUGAACGCUGGCGGCAGGCCUAACACAUGCAAGUCGAGCGGCAGCGCGGGGGCAACCCUGGCGGCGAGCGGCGGACGGGUGAGGAAUUCGUCGGAAUCUGCCUUUUUGUGGGGGAUAACGUAGGGAAACUUACGCUAAUACCGCAUACGUCCUACGGGAGAAAGUGGGGGACCGCAAGGCCUCACGCAGAAAGAUGAGCCGACGACCGAUUAGCUAGUUGGUGGGGUAAAGGCCCACCAAGGCGACGAUCGGUAGCUGGUCUGAGAGGAUGAUCAGCCACACUGGGACUGAGACACGGCCCAGACUCCUACGGGAGGCAGCAGUGGGGAAUAUUGGACAAUGGGCGCAAGCCUGAUCCAGCCAUGCCGCGUGUGUGAAGAAGGCCUUCGGGUUGUAAAGCACUUUUGUCCGGAAAGAAAUCCCUGGAGCUAAUACCUUCGGGGGAUGACGGUACCGGAAGAAUAAGCUCCGGCUAACUUCGUG